AAUCCAUAGGUUAAUGAGGCGAACCGGGGGAACUGAAACAUCUAAGUACCCCGAGGAAAAGAAAUCAACCGAGAUUCCCCCAGUAGCGGCGAGCGAACGGGGAGGAGCCCAGAGCCUGAAUCAGCAUGUGUGUUAGUGGAAGCGUCUGGAAAGGCGCGCGAUACAGGGUGACAGCCCCGUACACAAAAGCGCAUGUGCUGUGAGCUCGAUGAGUAGGGCGGGACACGUGGUAUCCUGUCUGAAUAUGGGGGGACCAUCCUCCAAGGCUAAAUACUCCUGACUGACCGAUAGUGAACCAGUACCGUGAGGGAAAGGCGAAAAGAACCCCGGCGAGGGGAGUGAAAAAGAACCUGAAACCGUGUACGUACAAGCAGUGGGAGCACAGGUUUACCUGUGUGACUGCGUACCUUUUGUAUAAUGGGUCAGCGACUUAUAUUCUGUAGCAAGGUUAACCGUAUAGGGGAGCCGUAGGGAAACCGAGUCUUAACCGGGCGUUAAGUUGCAGGGUAUAGACCCGAAACCCGGUGAUCUAGCCAUGGGCAGGUUGAAGGUUGGGUAACACUAACUGGAGGAC
rnacentral:rRNA from 1 species